rnacentral:sRNA from 1 species
UUCUAGCCCGGAUAGAAACGACAUCCUUUUUUGCGGCGGGCGGAACGAAGUGGAGCCUGUCGCAAAAAAGAUACAGUGGAUAGCCGGAUUAAGC